UCUACAGUCUGAAAUGUAAAGUGUGGCUGUAGUUUCUAGUCCUAACUUCUUGCUUUUUUAUUAUUUUAGGUCAUCAUAGUUACAUUCUAAAUGCUUACCCCUCCUUGUUUCAAAUCAAGAGUGUGCGCUUUAAAAAACAAUCAAACACUCCUUCAGAUUUUCUUCUGCGUCGCUUUUGAGUCUUUCUUCCUCCAACCCAGAGGUUGCAGCGUGGUGGCACACCUGGCAGGAGUGCUUUAGCCCGGCCAAGCUGCAAUUUUCCAGAGAAACCUCUUUGCUGGGGGAUUCCUGGUGAAGCUGGAGGAGAGGUUUGUGUAGCUGUCUGCGUUGGCGGGGAGUAUGGCCCUCAUCCUGCACCUGAGCGUUGACUUUAAGAGCGUGGGGCACUGAAUGACCCAGCAGAGAGACAUCAGCAGAGAGACAUCACCCGCGAGGAGCCAGUGCCUCGGAGAUGAUGAUGUAGUCCCUAUGUGGGCCGCAGAAAGCACUUCGAGCCGUGCUGGAGUCGUGCUGGGUGGCUCUGAUAGCAGAGCUAAUGGGAGCGAAUGGGAUGCAACGAACUGUUCUAAUGACACCAGCCAGGGAAGAGACAACAAUCAAAUAAUCCAUCUCCCUGCGGUGCCAAGAGCUAGCUUCUUGGAAAGGGUACGAGGGGAGAAAUCGGAGGAUCACCA
rnacentral:lncRNA from 1 species